AUUUAAUAAAUCUUUUAUCGCUAAUUUUAUUUUCUAUUUUUUAUCUUUUUAAUAUCGUUUAUCGUUACAUAUAAUAACUUUAGGCAAAUAUAUAUUUAACAUUAAUUAUUUUUUUGCACAUGUUUAAGCUAUUCGCCAAACUAACAUGUCUUCACUAAUAUUGGCAUAUAUAAUUGUCAAACUGUUAUAAUUCUAGAAGUUGUUAGUUCGAAUGACAUUUGAGAAGAGACUAUAUAAAAUGUUCUGGAGAUGGUAUAUUGUUCCAAAGGAUAUACGGAUAUAAAGCCAUAACUUUUUUUAGACAUUAAAAACAAGAAUAAAAAAUUUGUCAAACCAUUGGUCCGCUGGUUUCACUCCAUCACCAAAUGACAAAUGAUUCAAGUGAUAUCAUGUGUCCAAACUUUAGGUUAACACAGAACAAUGAGAAAUCUUUAACCGAAUUCUAAACUCAUGAUACAUGAACUUGUCUCCAAUUCCACAUUAUGCAUCAUAAAAUGGUUUGUUAAUCGUUAUCCUACAAAACAACCUAAAAGCUAUAAACACUUGAAAAAUUUUAAAAAAGUAAAGACUUUUUUGACUCAUAAAAGGACUAAUACCAAAUUUCAUAGUUCCAAUUUUGAACAAAAAAACACAAAAAACACAUGAGAAAUAAUAACUUAAAAAAUCUAAGAACAUAUGUUGCCUCAUAAAAAGACCGAUACAAACGUUAGAAACCGCCAAACCGGUAACAUAUUGUACAUCAGCUACCAGAUCGUUGAUUAAGAAUUAAGAUACCGGUAUAGUCGAUGUAGCCUGCCUAUACAGACUCAUAAUCGACCUGAACCCCUUAUUAUGUGCAAUCUAAAACAAGUGUUUUAAAUCAAAAGACUAACUACAACAAUUUUUUUAAUCUAAUAAUACAUUUGUUGUUUGCUAUUAUAAUAUAAGUAUUUGAUUAAUAAAAUACGAAAUAGAGAUUCGUAUCCACUAAAACUAGUAAUAUAAGUUGUGGGAAUAUCCUCCCUUUUAAGUAUUUCAAAGGGCACUACAAAUUUUGUCUUUACAAAACAACCAAAGUGGAUAAAUAACUCCAUGAGGCACUUCAAAAGUUUCCAUACAUUAGUUUAUUUGUACUUGUUUCUUACGAAAUCCCUGUCUUCAUGGGAGAUUCACUUAUGUGAUAUAGUUUCAUUUCUAAUUAAGAUAUUCAUUAUUGUUUGCAGUACCCUAUAAACUAAUCAAAUGAUGAUUAAAAUUCAUUAAAAAAAAAAAAAAGAGUGAUUAAACAAGAAUGAAACGUGGGUUAUGAUCCUUAGAAAUGAACUACAUUAUGGAUUAGUGUAUUAAUUUAUCUAUUUCUUAGAUAUAAACUAACCAAGGAAUUACACAGCACCUUUUUUCUUAACGUGGCAGCUUACAAGAACUGAGAAAGAUUUGGUUAGGAGACACAUGCCAAGAAUCACUCAUGUUGGAGUUUUAAUAAUUUAACACGUACAACUCCAAAAUUUUAAUGAGCGAUAGGGGGUACUUAAUUACUUCCUAGGAUUGAAGAGCCAAUUACUUGUUAUUUAUUCUGUCAAAUUGCUAAUUCUUAUUGAGGUUUCCACGUGUAUACAGAAUAUUUGACAUUAAUGCACUGUAGCUAAAACAUUAUGGAGUUAAUAAUAUUAAUAGUAAUUUUCGAAAAAGGUUUCAAACCCAGUUAUUUGAUAUAUUGUGAAGAAAGGUCUCACAUCAGAGAUGAAAAUGGAUUUGAGUAAUACAUAAAAGACAUGAGUUAAUUUAUUUAUUGCCAAAUUGAUUUAGAAUUGGAACCCCAUAACAAAUUAACAUGAUAUCAAAACAUGAAUACAUGUUGAUCCGUUAAUACGGUCCAAACAAUAGCUCGAUCACUCCAUGUAUGAAUGGUUCAACGAAAGCUCUAUUCCGUCGAAAUAAGUAAAAAUGCAUUUACAUGUUUGAUGCUCCACCUAAAAGGAUAUUUGUAGUAAGAAUUAGGUUAUAUAUCGAAUUGUUCAAGUUAAGUCGGAUUUUUUCUAAUAUUUUGAGAAACUGGAACGUCAGUUAAUCGUGCAUUUGUAGUAAGAACACAUACUUUUAGGAUUUUAGCUUCUCUUUUCAUUUUGUCUUGGAUUUAAUAUACUUCGCCUCGUUAACUGAAUAAGAGUAUAUAUAAUUUUAGAGUACAUAUAUUAUAACUUCUAAUGUAUGUAAUGAGGCAGCAAUAAUUGAAGUUGAUGAGAUAAAAACUGCAGAUAAUAUUAAGUAUCAUAUAUAUGUAGUAAACUAAAGUAUCAAUGUAGUCACAUGCAUUUGUACCUUAUAUCAGCCAAAUUCAGGAGAUUCUGUCUCCUCGACGGAGAUUAUGAAACACAUCUAAUAUAGUAAUUAUUAACAAAGCGAGGUAACCAUUUGACUAAUUAAGAAUCAUUAUAAUAUAUACUAUUUGACUAUAGAGCGGCCUCAAAAGGCCAGGCCAAACACUGAAGGCUAUAUCAGUUUUGGGACAAUGGAAGCGACGACGAGAUUUUUUAGAGAAUGGCACAAGUUACAUGAAAAGCUAAUCGACUAAGAGAAAACCCAAUAUUUCAGGAGCAAAAGUUGUGUGUAAAAUCGUACACGAAUACUCUAAUUUAUGUGUGGAAAAAUGUUUCACAACUGCAUUUAACUGUAUAUAUAACUAAAAUGUAGAUUUAUUUACCCCAAUCUAUCGAAAACUUAUACAAUUAACCAUAUUUAACUAAUAUAUAGUAAUUCAAUAAAUGAAUGAUCUAAUAAAAGUUAUUCGUAACACAUGUGAAACUGAAAAUAGCAUGGCUUAGAAAAUAAUUCCUAAAUCCUGAUGAUCUAUGAGAUUUUCUAUCAAUGUAAACUUUUUUAGUCUUUGGAUGAAAAUAAAACCAAUAAAUAAGUAACAAAAUGCCUUAGACAUAGAUGGUCGAAGCGCGCAAUACUGGUAUACAAGUUAUGAGUAUGAAAAAAAAAGAAAAAAAAAAUAUUAUGCAACUGAAUACUUUUCUAUUUGUUAACAGAAAUAUCGUCAAUUAUUGUGUAUGCAUGCCUCUUCAUCCAACAAGCAAUUAUUUCAAUUUUACAACAUCCAACUUUUUUGUCAGACAAAAUAAAUCUUGGCACCACAUCUGAUCCUGAACAAACAAUACUUAGAUAAUAUACAAGGUCUGGUCAGCAUGUAGUUGCUGUCGAUGUAAACAAUUUAUUCUAAGAAAAAAGAACGUAACCCGUAAAACAUACGGAUUCAAAUGAGCUGAAAAACGUGAUGAUGUCAAGAAAAACAAUCGAUUAGCCACAUUACACAAAUUAACUCAAAAUGUACACACGAAAACGCCUAUUGAAAAAUUAGGAAGUCAAAUGAGUAUACAGUGAGCUCACCAAUAAGUGAUUAUAAUCGAUCACAAUUCUCGAUACUUGACACUUUUGAGCAAUAUUGAACAAACUUGUAAAUCCUUGAUGAUGAAAGAAGUAAAGUCUAGAUACAUUAUUUUCAUAGUUUUGAGAAAGAAAGAAAAAGAGUCUCAAUAGAUCCUAAAAUCAUGGUUGAGCAGUAUAUAUACUUGGGGUUUUGAAUCAUUAUUUGCUAUUUUGGGGUUGAAAUUUAUUUGGCGAUUUAUUGGUUAGAGGGCAUUUGAUGCAAAUUGGCUUAAUUAGA
rnacentral:lncRNA from 1 species